rnacentral:rRNA from 1 species
AUGUCCCAAUACUGGUGGGGAGAUGAAAAUCAGAAGAAGCAUAUGCACUGGUUUGCAUGGUGGACAAUGUGUGUGCCCAAAAAACAAGGAGGGAUGGGCUUCAGAGAUUUACACUAUUUUAAUAUGGCUAUGUUAGCGAAGCAAUAUUGGAGACUCUUAUCAGAACCAAAUUCUCUCUGUGCUAAAGUUCUGGGAGCAAAAUAUUUUCCUGAUGGAGAUAUUCUAAAUUACAAACUAAAAAAAGGGAGCUCCUACACUUGGCAAAGUCUGUGGGGAGGAAUCUAA